rnacentral:rRNA from 1 species
GAUGAACGCUGGCGGCGUGCUUAACACAUGCAAGUCGAACGGAAAGGCUCCUGCUUGUAGGGGUACUCGAGUGGCGAACGGGUGAGUAACACGUGGGUGAUCUGCCCUGCACUUCGGGAUAAGCCUGGGAAACUGGGUCUAAUACCGGAUAGGACCACAUUUUGGAUGGUGUGGUGGAAAGUUUUUCGGUGUGGGAUGAGCUCGCGGCCUAUCAGCUUGUUGGUGGGGUAAUGGCCUACCAAGGCGUCGACGGGUAGCCGGCCUGAGAGGGUGUACGGCCACAUUGGGACUGAGAUACGGCCCAGACUCCUACGGGAGGCAGCAGUGGGGAAUAUUGCACAAUGGGCGCAAGCCUGAUGCAGCGACGCCGCGUGGGGGAUGACGGCCUUCGGGUUGUAAACUCCUUUCGCUAGGGACGAAGCGUUUUUGUGACGGUACCUGGAGAAGAAGCACCGGCUAACUACGUG